GACGAACGCUGGCGGCGUGCUUAACACAUGCAAGUCGAACGGAAAGGCCCUGCUUUUGUGGGGUGCUCGAGUGGCGAACGGGUGAGUAACACGUGAGUAACCUGCCCUUGACUUUGGGAUAACUUCAGGAAACUGGGGCUAAUACCGGAUAGGAGCUCCUGCCGCAUGGUGGGGGUUGGAAAGUUUCGGCGGUUGGGGAUGGACUCGCGGCUUAUCAGCUUGUUGGUGGGGUAGUGGCUUACCAAGGCUUUGACGGGUAGCCGGCCUGAGAGGGUGACCGGCCACAUUGGGACUGAGAUACGGCCCAGACUCCUACGGGAGGCAGCAGUGGGGAAUAUUGCACAAUGGGCGGAAGCCUGAUGCAGCAACGCCGCGUGCGGGAUGACGGCCUUCGGGUUGUAAACCGCUUUCGCCUGUGACGAAGCGUGAGUGACGGUAAUGGGAAAAGAAGCACCGGCUAACUACGUG
rnacentral:rRNA from 1 species